GACAGAGGGUGCGAACGUUGUUCGGAAUUACUGGGCGUAAAGGGCGCGUAGGCGGCCUGUUAAGUCGAACGUGAAAUCCCUGGGCUCAACCCAGGAACUGCGUCCGAUACUGGCAGGCUUGAAUCCGGGAGAGGGAUGUGGAAUUCCAGGUGUAGCGGUGAAAUGCGUAGAUAUCAGGAGGAACACCGGUGGCGAAGGCGGCUUUCUGGACAGAAACUGACGCUGAUGCGCGAAAGCUAGGGGAGCAAACAGG
rnacentral:rRNA from 1 species